AACAGAACCUUAUUAUUGCUAUUGACCAUUAGUGUAAUUCUCUGCCUAAUAAUUCAUUGGGUAUUAUAUUCUUAUAUACACUAAAAUUAAAGAACAUAUUCAGCCUUAAAAUGUCCCCAAAAAUAGGAACGUCCCCGCCUCAACUGAAAAUUAGACGUUCCUAUAAAAAAGAGUGUAUUCUGUAUGCCACUUUGCUAGUACUAGAAAUUAAGAAGUGAAGACUUCUUGAAACCACUUGAAGGUCUAUGAUAGGUUGCCGCGCGAGAGUAACUCUUUGUACCAAAAGGCUAUCUUUUCCUUAAAAAAAUGUAAUUGCGAUUGAUUAGGAGCCGAGGAGUAGUAAGUUUUCUCAAGGUCUAGAUUACGAAACAAACAGUGAAAAAGGAGUUGGAGGUUCUCAUACGUCCAUAUGCCAAGGCUUUGUCACAAUAAAGACUGAGUUGGGAACCUAAGUUCACGACAAAGGAUAAAAAAAACUUAAGUUCUACGUUGAAGAUUACUGUUUUGAAGCCAGCGGCACGUAUUUAUUGUCUUAAGGAGAUGGUACAGGGCUUAAUUUUUAAUCAUAGCUUAUUAUUAAGCAGAUUUAUUUUUAUGGGGAUGCUGACUUAGGGGUGACGGAUGGUCGAUCCGAGAAAUUUCGAGACGACGAGAAGCCACCAGUUUUGAAAAUCGGACUUUGAUUUUAGUUUUGAAAAUCUGAUCUUGCUUUCAGUCGAAUCUCUAAAUCCGAUAAUUACAGAUGCCUUAAAAUUUCGCGAGAAAAUAAGGGACCAUUCGCCAAAAAAAACAACUGUUUAGAAUAGUUCCCCUCUAAAAGUCUUGGCUAUUUAUUUCUCUAAAACAUUCGUCUAGACGCAAAAAGGUUAAUCUAACUUGCCAUUUGUACUAAGUACAACUAAUUCUUUUUUUGUAUUUUGGGAAAUAAAGUGACAAAAUGCGUGUUGUGCUAUAAUGCACGAGUGUUAGAGUCGUCAAGUAAAUAACUGACAAUUGUCUUACGUUUCUUCUUUCACAAAUGAAUCCGACCGGGAAACGCAAGAAUGUCUAAAGAAACAUCUCGUCAAUAGUUAUUUAAAAAUCUAAAGUAAAUUGUACGUCAAUAAAAUCAAUGCCUAGAACAAAUACACCUUCAAAAGUUGAGAAUUGACAAUUGGCUAAAAAAAGUUUGAAAUGUGAGUUGAAGUUUUUUAUUAGAGUAGUAAUCUUUUAGAUAUGGUUCUUUUAUAUAUUUCUUUUUGUUGUUGCCUUUUACCGAGCCAGUAUCCGGUCAUAAUGGUUCUUCCUACAGGCUUAGAAACUUGAGAUGAUUUAAAUGGGACCACUGAAAUAACUUUUGUCACUCACGGGGAUAUUGCAUGACCUGAGCCACAUUCUUUUUACAAAGAAAAACCAGAAGGGAAAUGAGAUCAAGAUGUGGGCGAAGGAGGAAUGAAUACGUACAAUUUUCCCAUUAAAGGCCGCCUUCCUUUCGCAAGAAGCACACAAAGGUAUUAACUCAUACCUAUCGAGUACCCUAGCUAAAUUUAGACAAAUAUUCUAAUAAUUGUUAAGCUCUAAGUGCAAGUUGGUGGGUUGAUGAGUUCAAUUGGCUUUAACAACAUGCGAGAGCCCGCAUUAUGGCCUACUUCCUUACAGGGGCAGGUGCAACGGUUAUGCCUUAAAUAGGGUGUACUAACAGCCAGUCAGGCACUAACGCUCUGGACCUCGCCCUGGCUAUCGUUGCCUCUUGACGGAAGAUGAAGAAGACACAAUAUACAGCGCUUCUAGCCUCUCUAUUCAUUGUCAGUCUGUUGCUUCAAGCCAUGGGGGCAGUAGGUUCCAUGCCUAGCCCUCCCUUUGGUAAACGUGAACGCACCGUUGAGCAACAAAGAGUCUUUUUACAAGCAAGAAAUAAUGUCUGUGAAGCUGCGGUAUUAAUGGGAUGCGAUCAAUCUCUCGAGAGCGUGCGCACUAUGACACACAAGCUAGACCUGAGUUGACGGAGAAAAGUUGAAGCCAUUGUGUUACAUAGAGAAAAAAAAGAGGAAUAUAUAUUUUAGAAAUAAUCUAAUUAUUUUGUUUA